rnacentral:rRNA from 1 species
UACGGAGGAUGCGAGCGUUAUCCGGAUUUAUUGGGUUUAAAGGGUGCGUAGGCGGAUUUUUAAGUCAGCGGUAAAAUGUCCGGGCUCAACCCGGGCCGGCCGUUGAAACUGGGGAUCUUGAGUGGGCGAGAAGUAUGCGGAAUGCGUGGUGUAGCGGUGAAAUGCAUAGAUAUCACGCAGAACACCGAUUGCGAAGGCAGCAUACCGGCGCCCGACUGACGCUGAGGCACGAAAGCGUGGGGAUCGAACAGG